rnacentral:rRNA from 1 species
GUCCAGCCUGCCCAGUGACAUAGUUCAACGGCCGCGGUACCCUAACCGUGCGAAGGUAGCAUAAUCACUUGUUCUCUAAAUAGGGACUAGUAUCAACGGCACCACGAGGGCUACACUGUCUCCUCUCUCCAAUCAGUGAAACUGAUCUCCCCGUGAAGAAGCGGGGAUUUUUAUAUAAGACGAGAAGACCCCAUGGAGCUUCAAACUCAAUAUACACCUUUUCUUGCCUGUAACAACUAACCGUAAAGAUCUGUAUGUUAGUUUUAGGUUGGGGGGACCGCGGAGUAUAACUCAACCUCCACGACAAACGGGCCAACGCCCUUAUCUACGAAACACAUUUCUAAGAAUCAAUAAUCUGAUGUUUUAUGACCCGAUAAAUCGAUCAACGAACCAAGUUACCCUGGGGAUAACAGCGCAAUCUACUUCAAGAGCUCCUAUCGACAAGUGGGUUUACGACCUCGAUGUUGGAUCAGGGUAUCCUAGUGGUGCAGCCGCUACUAACGGUUCGUUUGUUCAACGAUUAAAACCCU